rnacentral:lncRNA from 1 species
AUAAGGUGAAUUAUUCUGUACUGCGGCUAAACUAGAUGCUUCACAUGUAGUCAUUUGAGAAAUAUGUGGCGGCGUCCUACUCCUAUCCAUAGAUUCACAUGUAUCUGCUGGUUCCUGCAAACAUGUGUACAAAUAAAUAAUGUAAAAUCUUGUAAUACUAGUUAGCUACUAGCUCAUUUGCAUAAAACCAGUGGUCAUGUCUCUCACCUGACUAAUAAUACCAUCAUACUGAGGGCACAAUACUUUUGUUAUUCCCUCUGCAAUCACUUCUUUGAAAUGAUCAAGCAAUUCUUCCUUUGCAGAGACAUAUAAUUCAUUCUUCAGCCUUGAACAAGAAAGUGAUGUCAAACUGUGUCCUGGGUUGUCAUCAGCUUUCAUUUGCCUGCUAGGUCCAACUCCAGAAGGGUAAUCCAUACCAGAUCGAGGAGCAUCUAUUGGCUGCAAAAUCAUCAAAAGUACCAACAGAUAUCAAAAGCUAAAAACAUAAUAAACAUUUGAUUUUUGUAUACGUCAUACAAUAAGUUAAUUACACCCCGCAAAACCCUUGCCCUCAAUCCCUCACUGCCUUCGCAGACUUCACUGUUUGUAGAAAAUAUGUAUAGGGGUACUAUAUAUGGAGUAUGGAAAACUGUCACCUACUCAAGCCACCUGUGACUGCAAGCCACCUGCUCAACCAUACCUGUGACUGCGAGUCACCUACCAAAGCAUACCCGUGACUGCGACAGUGAGAGUUUCCAUGCUGAAGUAUCAUGCUUUUGUUUCGACAUUUUCAAAUAUAGUAAAUAAAUUCAUUUUAUGAAAAAUGACACAAUCAUGCUUUUCACACCAUGUGCCAGACAUGAUCCCACUUUCGCGCCAAAUCUUUUGAACAGAACAAACAAAUGUAACCAUUAAUUGAUAAAUGGUCCCUCGAAUCUUUUCAUGCCGUCUGGUAGACGAAUAAAUGAAUAUGACCUCAUGUUGAGCACAAAUAAACAACUUUCUACCUUCAUAGGCUAUCACUCCUGUCCGCCUGUUGGGUCGCAAAUAACAGUUAUGGCGGCUUAUUAGAUCAACUUACCCUUGCCUUCUCCAAAUGCACCAACCAACCAACCUUCCAUCCUGUUUGUACUCCUGUUGAUAGAAGUACAAACCAACCGCUUACCCCCUGCCAUCCCACCCUGGACCUGACCAACUUACCCUUGCCUUCUCCAAAUGCACCAACCUUCCCGUCCUCCUCUAUUUCUAACAACACCUUCUCCAUCUUGUUCCCCUAAUCCCCUCCCCGUGACUCCUUCCCUUCUCUCUUGCCACUUCUAUCCCUAGACAUGCUGUUGUACCACUCUAGCUCCCACACCUUCUAAAAAAGAACAGAUCUGGAGAACUACAAACAAACAAAAAGGUCUGAAUUUCUUUCAUAUGUUGCACACGCUUCCUUCCCCUAAUUGGCAAAAAAUAUUCACUGUGCACACAAAAAAAUGACGUUUGGAGUAGUACUAUGUAAAGCUCUAGCCUACUCAAGCAUUUCUGAGGGUGGGUGAGGUUAGUAUGCCAAAUUGCCAGAAAUAGUAAUUUAGUAUCAUUUAUGCUAAAAAAAAUGCCACAAUUGUGUUUUUGGCGCCGUGUACCAUAUCACCCUUUUCGCGCCAAAUCUUGAGUAGAACAAACAAAAGUACCAUAAUCAAUGAACAGUUUCCACAGUCCUUUCCUGCCGCCAGAUAGACGGACAAACGAACAUGGCCCACGUGUCACGCGCAAAAAAACUGCAACCAGCCUUGAUGGGACACCUAACUCUUCACUCGUGUCGAUAGGCAAAUAACGGUCCUGACAGGGUUUCACGUACAAACCAAUAGCUUGCCGCCCCGCCACCUUCAUCCUGACCUUUCCCCUCCUCAGCCUAGACCACAACCCUAUAGCUCUCGCCUUCUCCAAAGCCACCAAUUCUCCCCUCCCUUCCACUGGCUGCCUUCUACAUCUAACUUCCCUCUCUUUCACUGCUUCCUCUUGCCUCUUCCAUCCCUAGACCCAAUGUUCCAUCCCCAUAUCCCUCACGGCUCAUAAAACGAAAAACAAGAAGAAUAACUCGCCAUGGCGAAAGCCGACAUGCAAUCCCUUACAAAGCAGCAUUUCUCACGAGCAAACGCAAACGGAUCAAUCACUCCAGAACCUAAUGCAAAUGAACCCACCGGAGAUCAUAGGUCGCCCUGCAUUAGAGACAGAAACUAAACCCAGCAAGACACGCAGACAUACACACAGCAGAUCGGCGAGCCGCAGGAUACCAGGUACCCUUCCCCUAAAGGCCCGUAGGUCUAAGCCACCACAGGCACCAGCGGAAGCUACAUCUAAAGCGGGGAACAUCCCAACACGGUCACAGCAGCUACGAGGGAAGCUGCGAACCCAGCAAAUUCUAGGGAAUUCAGCAAGAUCGAGCGGCAAGAUGCAGAUCCAGAGCCCAGUCGCAGUGUACAACACGAUUCCACGAGCACGCAUUGCGACUUGCAAGGAAACUAACAGGAUGAGGGGGGGGAUACAUCAACUACAUGACAGAAGGAAAUGGUGAAAUGGAAAGGAACGGGGGGAGGGGCCUCACCGCAGGUGGAUCGGGCUGGGAACGAGCGACCGGAGCAGCCGGUCGCAGGGAGGCAACCGUCGGUGGAGCGGGGAGGAGC